rnacentral:misc_RNA from 1 species
CUGCACGAAGCCGCUCUUCGAGCCCUCGUGCUCGUCCAGGUGGUGUCGUCCCAAGCGCCGAACUCCCUGCGCUCUCUCAGUCUUCACAAGCGUGUCGCCUCCCCUGGUAUCGGUACCGACCGCCGGCGUCGUUUCCCAGCCACCGGCCUUCAACCCGAAGAGUCCCAGCCGUCGCGCCAGGAAGCCGCCCAGCCAGGGCCGCGCGCCGCCCCGCGCCCCGACGUGACUCCGCGCCUUCUCCCUCUCUUCAUCUCUUCAGGGUCGCCGCCGGCCAACUCCUGUCUGCGCCAGCCGCCUCCCUCUGCUCCCACCGGACCGCGCACCUGCGCCGUCUCCUCCAGCCUCCAGUGCCGCGCGCGCCCUGUCCUGUCGCGUCGCUCCGCCGGACCCCCUCCCGUCGCGCCUGCACCGCCGGAUCUGUCUCCUUCCGCGCCAGCGCCACCGGAUCCGUCCCGUCCGGCUUCUCCCUGCCACCUUCUCUUCACUUGCCGUCAGGCGCUGUCGGCCCCAACUCCCAGCCAAGCCGCCCGACUCGAUCCUACUGGCAGCGGGCGAGGGAGUGGAAAAUGGAGUUGCUUGCGAUUUGGCAGAGGGGAUUUAUCUGGAGUGUGCUUUGCUUUGAGCGAGAUGGGAGUUGAGGGAGCUGGUGGGGGAAUUUAUAAGCGAGUGGGGGUGCUUGGGCAUGGAGUGGCGAUGACGGAGCAGGUGACAUGCGGCAGCAGGUGCGACAAGGGGUGGGGGGCUGUUGCCGGCGACGAUGGUGGUGGUGGGUGCGCUGCAAAGGGAGGUGGGCGGCGGUAG